GAGGCAUGCGGGUCAUUUGCAGAAUCAAAAUGGUUGAAGCAGAUCGUCCUGGGAAACUGUUCAUUGGGGGCCUAAACACAGAGACUAAUGAAAAAGCCCUUGAGGCUGUAUUCGGCAAAUAUGGACGCAUUGUGGAAGUCCUUUUGAUGAAAGAUCGUGAAACCAACAAGUCCAGAGGAUUUGCAUUUGUCACAUUUGAGAGUCCAGCAGAUGCAAAAGAUGCUGCCAGAGAUAUGAAUGGAAAGUCAUUAGAUGGGAAAGCAAUUAAAGUGGAACAAGCAACCAAGCCAUCCUUUGAAAGUGGUGGUAGGCGUGGGCCGCCACCCCCUCCACGAAGCAGAGGUCCUCCCAGGGGCCUUAGAGGUGGAAGAGGCGGAAGUGGCGCGAGAGGACCACCUUCAAGAGGGAGUCACUUGGGGUCUUCGCGUGGGCCACUUCCCAUGAAGAGAGGUCCACCUCCACGAAGUGGAGGCCCUCCACCUAAAAGAUCUGCACCUUCAGGACCAGUGCGUAGCAGUAGUAUGGGAGGAAGAGCUCCUGUGUCACGUGGAAGAGACAGUUACGGUGGUCCUCCACGCAGAGAACCGAUGCCAUCACGAAGAGAUGUCUACAUGUCUCCAAGAGAUGAUGGCUAUAGCACUAAAGAUGGUUAUUCAAGCAGAGAUUAUCCCAGUUCCAGGGAUACACGGGACUACGCGCCACCUCCACGAGACUACGCAUAUCGUGAUUACGGUCAUUCCAGUUCACGUGACGAAUACCCCUCUAGGGGAUAUAGUGAUCGUGAUGGAUACGGUGGUGGACGUGACAGAGACUACUCGGAUCAUCCAAGUGGAGGCUCCUACAGAGAUUCAUAUGAGAGUUAUGGAUGAUAACUUCUAGAAGACACCACUGAAGUAAUUCUGGUUCAUCUGUGUUGAUGGCAGAGAUGGGUGGUGCCUGUACCAAUACAUAAGUUACGGUGACUAGAAGAAUGCAGUGCAGCAGUGGAUAUGCAUUGGAAAAUCGAAGGAUAACAAAAUGCAACUGAUAAAGCUUGGCUUUUGAGUGUGGUGUUACCCAGUAUUUGUUUUAGAGGGUUGUGUUAUCAUUCAGGAAUUGCCUUUGAAAGUAGCACUACUAAUCUCUUGGAUAUAAAAAAAAUUCUCAGUUGGAAGUCAGUUGCUGCCUGCUGUAGCCAGCAUCUUCCAAGAGUGAGCCUUUUUUUUAGUCAGUAUACAUGCAUCCGCAGAUUCUGCAGCAGAAAAAUACUCCAGGGUUGCCCUUUACAUAGGGUGCUUUCCGUUUGUGCUGAAAAAAAGAGCAAGUUACAUAAAAGUGAGUUUUAAUCCUCUCAAAUACAGAGGACUAAAUUGUUACAAAUUCUUCAUCAAGAAACCAUGAAAAGUUUUACGAUAUUCUUACAUUAACAGUUUUAUAAUUGUCCGGGCCUUCUAGAUGGGAGGAAGGAAGCGUUGAUGUAUGGAGAUGAUAUUAGUGAUAAAUCCCCCGAAUAAUUAGUGUUCUUGUGUGUACUAGCUUCUUGCAAAACUCCAGACAGCACUGCAUCUCUUGCAACAAGAUGCUUUCUUCAAAACUUUGCCUUGGUUUUAAUGCAUUUUUAUCUUGCCUAUAUGUUGAUGUGCCAACAUAUGAGAGGAGAAUCCUCAGGCACCGGUAUUUCAUGUAGAAAACUAACUUCAGAUUGACUGAAGUACUUAAACAGUCAUGGCUAAUAAAGUUUAUAUUGACUUUUUCUGUGGUAGAUAUAAACUGAUCUCAUUUAAACAACUAACACUCAGUUUAUAAUGAGUAGCUAAAGAAGAAAAAGCAUGCGUACCUUGUCUAGGGAUUUAAAACUACCUUUGGGUUUUGGGACAAGAAUAUCACUGCAGAUUCUAGGAGUAAGUCUGCCUGUAUGUAGCAGAUGGGUAGAAUUGCAGUAUUUCCCAGGGCUAAUAAAUUUACUGUU